CUCACCCUAGUUUAGCCUAGAAUGUGGGUUUUGGGGACCCAAGGCCUCGUUAUUGAGGGGUUUGG
rnacentral:tRNA from 1 species